CCUACGGGGGGCAGCAGUGAGGAAUAUUGGUCAAUGGACGAGAGUCUGAACCAGCCAAGUAGCGUGAAGGAUGACUGCCCUAUGGGUUGUAAACUUCUUUUAUAUGGGAAUAAAAUGUUCCACGUGUGGGCUUUUGUAUGUACUUUAUGAAUAAGGAUCGGCUAACUCCGUGCCAGCAGCCGCGGUAAUACGGAGGAUCCGAGCGUUAUCCGGAUUUAUUGGGUUUAAAGGGAGCGUAGAUGGGUUGUUAAGUCAGUUGUGAAAGUUUGCGGCUCAACCGUAAAAUUGCAAUUGAUACUGGCAGUCUUGAGUACAGUUGAGGUAGGCGGAAUGCGUGGUGUAGCGGUGAAAUGCUUAGAUAUCACGAAGAACCCCGAUUGCGAAGGCAGCUUACUAAACUGUGACUGACAUUGAUGCUCGAAAGUGUGGGUAUCAAACAGGAUUAGAUACCCGAGUAGUC
rnacentral:rRNA from 1 species